GUGUAUUUUGAAGGAAUAUGCUGCUGUCGAGGCAAAUUGUUCGGACCCAUCCAGUGAGAUCAGGUAUACUUCAAACAACUAUCAUGUAAAAUUUAUAUAUGAUGUAACAAACCAUCCUAAAACAACGACAAUGCCAAGAUUGAUGUUCUUGAGCUUGAUCUUUCAUCUCUCAACUCGGUUAACGCCUUUGUUCAUACCUUCAAUGCUCUUGAUCUUCCACUCAACAUCUUGAUGUAUGCCAUUAACCAUUUACUUCCGGUCAUGGUUUUUUUUUAAUCUCUUACCGGUAAAAUAAACAGUCUAAUAGGUCGAAAGUCGCCCAAUACAAAAAACCUCCUAAAAGCUAUAGAUUAUCAUUACAAUGAUAUCACGUGUUACUACGUUGGCAUUUUUUUCUAACCGAAGAAGACUCUAAAUUUGCAUAAACAAUGCUGGUGUUAUGUUCUGCCCCUACCAACUGUCACAAGACGGGAUAGAGAUGCAGUUUGCGACCAAUCAUCUAGGUCACUUUCACUUGACAAAGAUGCUACUUGAUAAAAUGAAGGAAACAGCUGCAAGAACUUGAAUCGAGGGUAGAAUUGUAAAUUUAUCAUCAAUAGCUCAUCGCUACACUUAUGAACAAGUGAUCGUGUUCAAUAAAAUCAAUGAUAAAGAUAGGUAAAUCUAUCAGAAUUUGUUUCUAAUGUCAUAUAUGAUCCUAAAUUCUAAUAUGUUGUGUAAUGAUAUCUUGGAUUCCACUAACUUUCCUAAACUGGCUAUUCUGAGAAAAAAGCAUAGGGCCAGUCAAAGUUAGACAACAUAUUGCACGUUAAUGAGCUCUCUCGACACCUACAGAGAUUACCAAAAUAACUCCAUUUUAGACAUCAAUGGAAAAUUAAAUUCCACAUGUAAAUGCUAGCCUAAGGUGGUUCUUUAUUAGCGUUGAGAUGUUCGUGUCAUAUUGAAGGUUUGUAGCCUUUUUACUGAACACUUGCUGGCUAUUUAAGCCUGUAUUUCAUCAUGAGAGAAUUCUGUCCGCAUCAUCCGAAGUGGUAGAAAGCCCCUUAAGUUAAGGAAGAGCUUUUGCGCCCCUCUCCAGAUUGCAUCAGUAUCAUUUUUAAUUGUUUUGGGCUGAAAAUACGUGCUUAAUUGCUUUACUUUACAAAACCAUGGUACACUCACAUGUUGAUCCAGUUUGAGAAAUUGAUUAUGAAACCCCUGGUUACAUCAGGACGAAAAUGGCAUACAAUACCAAUGGGUCAAGGCAAAUGCGCCCCAAUAAGGCAGGUCUUAGGUAAGAGCAAGAUGAUAUUAGGGCUGCUAGAAGGAAUCAAAAUUGUGAACUUGCAGUGUUUAAAAUGAAGCCUGAAUUGCACUAUGGCGAUGAUGACUGCCCGGUUUCUAUUUCAGAUAGCUUUUCAAAGGAUGCCCGACUUAACUUUGAGAUUGAGCUGAUUGAGUUUUCUAAGAUCAAGGCAAGAACUACAAUUGGUUAUUUAUAAUUUUUGUACACUAAAUUCACACUAUACAGGCCUAACUUUGAUGUGAAGCUGCUAUUUGAAGCACACACUUAUAAGUUGUCAAUAACUCUAAACUGAAAUUGAUGCAAAAAUUACUUGCAGCCCUUCUUUUUUUUUUAUAAGUUGUCAAUGGCGUGUUGUGAAUAAAAAUGAACUCGGAUGGUGACGUUUGUGACGUU